UGUGCCUUCGGGAACUCUGAGACAGGUGCUGCAUGGCUGUCGUCAGCUCGUGUUGUGAAAUGUUGGGUUAAGUCCCGCAACGAGCGCAACCCUUAUCCUUGUUUGCCAGCGAGUAAUGUCGGGAACUCCAGGGAGACUGCCGGUGAUAAACCGGAGGAAGGUGGGGACGACGUCAAGUCAUCAUGGCCCUUACGAGUAGGGCUACACACGUGCUACAAUGGCGCAUACAGAGGGCGGCCAACUUGCGAAAGUGAGCGAAUCCCAAAAAGUGCGUCGUAGUCCGGAUUGGAGUCUGCAACUCGACUCCAUGAAGUCGGAAUCGCUAGUAAUCGUGGAUCAGAAUGCCACGGUGAAUACGUUCCCGGGCCUUGUACACACCGCCCGUCACACCAUGGGAGUGGGCUGCAAAAGAAGUGGGUAGUUUAACCUUCGGGAGGACGCUCACCACUUUGUGGUUCAUGACUGGGGUGAAGUCGUAACAAGGUAGCGCUAGGGGAACCUGGCGCUGGAUCACCUCCUUA
rnacentral:rRNA from 1 species